rnacentral:lncRNA from 10 species
GAAACAACAUACCAGAAUCUCUGGGACACAUUUAAAGCAGUGUGUAGAGGGAAAUUUAUAGCACUAAAUGCCCACAAGAGAAAGGAGGAAAGAUCUAAAAUCGAUCCCCUAACAUCACAAUUAAAAGAACUAGAGAAGCAAGAGCAAACACAUUCAAAAGCUAGCAGAAGGCAAGAAAUAAUUAAGAUCAGAGCAGAACUGAAAGAGAUAGAGACACAAAAAACCCU